UGAAGCUGAGCCUGGCACAGCACGAACUUCUUCUGCCAGCAGGACAUCCACAGUGUGCUGCCAGGAUUUAGAGCUAGUCACCUCUUGCAGAGCCCUCGAGGGGACAGCACUGGAGACCGUUCCUACCAGUGAUGUGACCAUACUUGGGAUGCUACGAAGACAUGCAUCCCUAAGAAGUCUUCUAGAUCCAGGCUGUCGUUGGUUUGUGGAGUACGACCUAUGCACAUUCGUUUAUAGCUGCUCAGUGUCUCAGCUUCCUAAGAAGUAGAAUCUGUCCGUUUUUAUACCAUGGUGAGGU
rnacentral:lncRNA from 1 species